AGAGUUUGAUCCUGGCUCAGGACGAACGCUGGCGGCGUGCCUAACACAUGCAAGUCGAACGGGGUAGCAAUACCCAGUGGCGGACGGGUGCGUAACACGUGAGGAACAUGUCUUUCGGCGGGGAAUAGCCGGCCUAACGGCCGGGUAAUACCGCGUACGACGAUUGGGGCGCAUGCUUCGAUCGUGAAAGCAGCAAUGCACCGAUAGAGUGCCUCGCGGCCUAUCAGCUAGUUGGUGAGGUAAUGGCUCACCAAGGCGACGACGGGUAGCUGGUCUGAGAGGAUGAUCAGCCACAUUGGGACUGAGACACGGCCCAGACUCCUACGGGAGGCAGCAGUGGGGAAUAUUGCGCAAUGGGCGAAAGCCUGACGCAGCGACGCCGCGUGUGGGAUGAAGGUCUUCGGAUUGUAAACCACUGUCGGGAGGGACGAAUGCGCCGCAAGGCGAGUGACGGUACCUCCAAAGGAAGCACCGGCUAACUCUGUGCCAGCAGCCGCGGUAAUACAGAGGGUGCGAGCGUUGUCCGGAAUCACUGGGCGUAAAGGGCGCGUAGGCGGCCCGAUAAGUAGGGGGUGAAAUCUUGCGGCUCAACUGCAAGGCUGCCUCCUAAACUGUCAGGCUUGAGCACAGUAGAGGCAGGUGGAAUUCCCGGUGUAGCGGUGGAAUGCGUAGAGAUCGGGAAGAACAUCGGUGGCGAAGGCGGCCUGCUGGGCUGUUGCUGACGCUGAGGCGCGACAGCGUGGGGGAGCAAACAGGAUUAGAUACCCUGGUAGUCCACGCCGUAAACGAUGGGUACUAGGCGUCGGGGGGAGCGACCCCUUCGGUGCCGUCGCUAACGCAGUAAGUACCCCGCCU
rnacentral:rRNA from 1 species